rnacentral:rRNA from 1 species
UACGAAGGGGGCUAGCGUUGUUCGGAUUUACUGGGCGUAAAGCGUGCGCAGGCGGUUCGUUGUGUCGGCGGUGAAAGCCCCGGGCUCAGCCUGGGAAUGGCCGUUGAAACUGGCGAACUGGAGUGUGGCAGAGGGGGGUGGAAUUCCGCGUGUAGCAGUGAAAUGCGUAGAGAUGCGGAGGAACACCGAUGGCGAAGGCAGCCCCCUGGGCUGACACUGACGCUCAGGCACGAAAGCGUGGGGAGCAAACAGG